CUCCGAGUGGUGUGGAUGUUUAUUGGGCCUAAAGCAUCCGUAGCUGGCUAAGUUAGUCCCCUGUUAAAUCCAACGAAUUAAUCGUUGGAUCGCGGGGGAUACUGCUUGGCUAGGGGACGAGAGAGGCAGACGGUAUUUCCGGGGUAGGGGUGAAAUCCUAUAAUCCCGGGAAGACCACCAGUGGCGAAGGCUGUCUGCUAGAACGCGCCCGACGGUGAGGGAUGAAAGCUGGGGGAGCGAACCG
rnacentral:rRNA from 1 species